rnacentral:lncRNA from 1 species
UGCACAUAUCAGUGCAAUUUUUCUUUCUUUCAUAAAGCACUUGUCAUCAAUCUUUUGCAAGCAAGCAAGGAAGAAAAAGAAGUGGAUAUGUGAUGGGACGUAAUGUAGGAAAAGGCAAAAUCAAAUCCAUGAGAUAAAAGUUAGGAAAAUAUAGCUCCUUUUGGUAUACGUUACUGAGUUCAAUAGGCCAGACCACCACUGUGAUGCAGGUGGCCUUGGAUGUAAAAGGUGCCCCUUUCACAUCUUGUCUAUGCUAUAAUGUUAUCUAUCGCUGUCAACCACAGCUGCAGCCAGCCUGGUACUUCAGUGAUUUUAGAGCAAGUGUGGACAAGAACAAAGCUACAUUCAGUGAUUUUUUUCAGGAUGCCCUGGACAAUAGUCUAAUGACCAACCUUUAUCCUCUGCAGUAG